rnacentral:rRNA from 1 species
UACGUAGGGGGCAAGCGUUGUCCGGAAUUAUUGGGCGUAAAGCGCGCGCAGGCGGCUUACUAAGUCUGGUGUGAAAGCCCACGGCUCAACCGUGGAGGGCCAUUGGAAACUGGUAGGCUUGAGUGCAGGAGAGGAGAGCGGAAUUCCCGGUGUAGCGGUGAAAUGCGUAGAGAUGUGGAGGAACACCUGUGGCGAAGGCGCCUUGCUGGCCGAUUUCUGACGCUGAGGCACGAAAGCGCGGGGAGCAAACAGG